CUUUUUCCAAUUUGUAAGUCGCUCUGGAUAAGAGCGUCUGCUAAAUGACUUAAA
rfam:Salmo salar isolate Sally breed double haploid chromosome ssa16, whole genome shotgun sequence.